UCUGCAGCCCGACUUGAACGGAGCUCUUUUUUAUGGAACGAAGUGAAGUAAAAAAAGCGGGAGUGGAAGGCGGAAAUGUCU
rnacentral:misc_RNA from 1 species